GAGAGCCACAUACAUUGAGAGGUGUACGUGUGGUUCGGAGGGGAGUUUUUGGAAACCUGUCGUAGAAAUACGAUAAGGCGCUGGAUUCUUACCCUAC
rnacentral:ncRNA from 1 species